CUGCAAGAUGUAGUGAGGCUUGCGGCGUGGAAACCGAAUCGUGAGAGUGGGAAGGAGAUUUCCCUGGUGGUAACAUAGGGACCUCUCCAUGGCUGGCUGCUCGUCUGCAUGCCAUUUUGUGGAUGUGCCUGAAGAUCUUCUCUUCCCUAGCUGGAUGGCCACAUACAAUUCUACAACUGAAAUCUGCCCAGAAAUCAUUUGUCCAGAAAAUCAUCAGCUCUAGCACCGACCGUGACUAGUUCAUUCACGGACCUCUCUCCUUCAUCUGUCAGAUACCAUCUUGUUUCAGAAGAAAUAUUUUAGAUACUUGAGAUCAACCUUCAACUUUGGUGACCUUGUUUGUCUUGGCCUUCUAAUCCUGAUCCGAGUGCAGCGUGAAGCGAUCUCAGAAACAUUGGCAGUUGUCUGGGCUAACGUGUGGAAGACACGUGAAGAAUUGCUCGACUGGAAAGGUGAAAUCUGAAUGUAUAACUGUGUAUAAAUGGGGGAAAAAUGAACUGUAAAUUUAUAGACAAGUCAACUUCUCUUCAUAUCCUAGAAAAAAAGAUAACAAGAAGAAUGGCAGCAAGGAUGAAUUUGCCAAGGAGAUUCCUUGUCCAAUCAAUCUAAUUUUCUUCGUGAAAGAAUAAAAGGUUUUGUUGACAAAGAAGAAGCAAUAAUCAUACAUCAUGUUUUCACUGUCUUUUGACACUGCCUUACCCUACAUCUUGUAAGCAAACUGGGAAGAUUGUCAAAAGUAAAAGUAUUAUUGAAGAAGUGUGUGAAGUGGCACACUGA
rnacentral:lncRNA from 1 species